rnacentral:rRNA from 1 species
UACGAAGGGUGCAAGCGUUACUCGGAAUUACUGGGCGUAAAGCGUGCGUAGGCGGUUUGUUAAGUCUGCUGUGAAAGCCCCGGGCUCAACCUGGGAACGGCAGUGGAUACUGGCAAGCUAGAGUGUGUCAGAGGAUGGUGGAAUUCCCGGUGUAGCGGUGAAAUGCGUAGAGAUCGGGAGGAACAUCUGUGGCGAAGGCGGCCAUCUGGACCAGCACUGACACUGAGGCACGAAAGCGUGGGGAGCAAACAGG